rnacentral:lncRNA from 1 species
UUCUCCCCAUUUCUUUAAUUUCAAAAUCUCUCUCUCCCUUUUCAAAAUCUUCUUUGAUUGAACUUAUUUUGUUCCAAACUUUGACCACUUUGCAAAAAGAUAGAAACUUUGGCCUUAUGUCAUUGUAUUUUUAAACUUCUUUUCUUAAAUCAAACUUAUAAAUAAAUUUAUAUAUACUUGACUUAAACUUUCAAAAAGCCAAAAAGAACUAACUCAC